ACGUCGUGGGCUGCACAGUGCGUAGUGGAUAGGUACCUGAAGGCAUCACACUGUCAGUGAAUGCUUCACGCUGUCAGUGAAUGCUUCACGCUGUCAGAUAUAUAUAUUAUCUAUAGAUAGAUAGAUAGAUAGAUAGAUAGAUAGAUAUGACGUCGUGGGCUGCACAGUGGCGUAGUGGAUAGGUACCUGAAGGCAUCACAACGGAGCAAAUGAGGCGAGGUGGUGACCACAUCACACACGAUGGAGUUCCACCUGCAUGUUAACGUCGACUCCCCGGAAAGGUUACCGUCCAGCAGCUCACGGUCAGUGCUGCCAACUUAGCGACUUUCUCACUAAAUCUAGCGACUUUCCAAAGCAUCCUAGCGACUUUUUUUGUCAAAAGCGACUAACGACAAAUCUAGCGACUUUUUAUGCCUUUUUGGAGACUGACAGGAAAACUCGGAUCAUUCUGCAGUUACUGUUUUCGACAAGCAGCAGGUGCUGCUGUGAGCUUCUCCCCCUCCCAGAGCACAGGCUGUCAGUCCAGUAACCCGCAGCAGACCCAGUGUCUGAUUAGAGGACACAUCACUCCGUGGCCAGACGGCAGAUGAAUCGCGCAUGUGCAAAUUCACUACAGAUUCCAUCCAGACUUACGGAGCGGGAUAUAAAUGAAAAUGUUUCUUCACUGGUCAUACUAAAAUAAACCACAGUAUUUAGCCUCUAGUAGAAAAACAUAUUUUGGGUGUUUUAUACUCACUUUUUGGUCUUUCCACAACGUUAUUAACCUUGCCAGCAAGUUGAUUUCUCGCGAUAUUUGUGAGUUCACAAAUCUCUCAAGAAAGCAUCUUGCUCCGCUCCCGCAUUCACUGUUUGUACAGAGCCAAGUUGGCACGGGCCAAUCACGCAGCAGUAUUCGUGUGUGGGGCGGGAUAUCCGGGUGUGAAGACGACACCAAGCGCCAGUAGAUCAAAACAAACACGGCAACGGAGGACAACGAUCGUGUAGAUGCUGCUAUUAAGUCAGUUUUAGCCGAAUCUCGUAUCGCUUCUUUGAAGGAAGAACAACGAGAGGCGCUUUGCACAUUUCUGGAUGGUAAAGAUGUUUGUGCUUUUUUACCUACGGGUUUUGGUAAGAGUUUAAUCUACCAAUUGGCUCCGCUCGUUGUGAAGAUCCCACGAUUGGCUAAAAACAAACCUGUCAGAGGUGGGACAUACUGUUGCACUGUCCAAUCCGUGCCUCUUUCCUCCGAACGGAUUUACAUGGAGCGGUCCCAGAUUGAUAUUGUGGAGUACUAUUAAGUACUACACAAUUAUUAAUCUGGCUAUUGCCAGGUUACAACGUUAUUCCUCUCUCCUACAACGUUGAUUACAAUUACAUGCAAACUGGGAAAUAUGCAAAGUAGGCGAUGACGUCAUUUAGCGACUUCUAGGACAGCCAACAGCUACUUUCCUUGAUCUUUGUAGUGUGCGUGUGGGUGUGUGUUUGUAGAUAUGAUAGUUUGAACUAGGUCGGGUAAAGGAAAGUCUGUAAGUCUACUGUCUGGUCCACACUCCGGAACAGAAGGUGGCGGUAAUGCACCAAGAAGCUGGAUGCCAACCGCCGUAAAACAAGAAGAAGAAGAAGAAGAAGCUACUUUCCUUACUGAGGAGUUGACAAGACAGGCAACACUGCUCACGGUGAGUCUCCGGGAGUCUCUCCGUCCCUCCAGCUCGGUCUGUCCACUAAGAAGUCUGCUGACCGACGGGACCCGCUGCGGCGGUUUCAGCUUCAGAACAGCUCUGAGGGAAACAUGGGAGACGGUGGGGACGCCUCGGAGCCGGAGACGGAGGGGAGGCCGCUCAUGAGUCACCGAGAAUGUGGAGCAGAGACCGAGGUUGGAGACAGAGACCGGUGUCGGGAUUCACGGGUGCGGAACUCUCUUCUGCAGGAUUCUCGGGUGCGGGAUUUUUCAUCUCUAUAAGAGUUCGGGAACGGACGUCAUACCACGGUGGAUUAUGGGAUGCCCCUGCCAUGUUUGUGGCUUGGAAUUGUAGACAGCCGAACAGCGUCGUCCGUGGAAUCUAUCGUUUACGUCCAAAAAAUGGACCGAAAGAGAGGCAAAUGCCCUAUUAUCUACAGGGAAAAACUGAACAACGAAGCCAAGCAAAGAUACAUGGAAAAAAAUUGGAUUAAUUCGUGGGAUAGAUCCAUACGAGCACCAAAGCUGGUCCAGUGACUACUUUAACCCGUUAAGCUUCAGUGUAAGCUUUGAGAUCUGCGUAAGCAUUUCCUUCCGGUAUAAACCACUUUCAGAUGUGAUUACCACAGCGGGUAAUAUAAACGCAUUUGUCCGAAAAACAACAAAUAUCCAUCCAUCCGUUCUCCCGUGCUCCCCUGAUGCCUUUUCCAAGUGGGAAAACUGAAAUAUUUCAGUCCGUUGGAAAAUUUUCUCACCGACCAGUGGUGAGACUUACUGUCGCAACCCACCACACAACAUGUGCGCCCCAUUGUUGCUGAUGGCCAGAAACUUUGCGUGCUAAAAACAUGUACAAAUGUGCAGGUUUUAAGGAAGCCGCCAGUAAACCCGCCACAAAUCCCAAGAUGCUUUGCGACGUGAUGUCACAUUCCCGUUCUCACCUGGACAGGUAACAUUGUUGGACCGAGUUCACUACGAUGGAAAUCCUACUGCUCACGGCUCUCCUGGUGCUUUCUACUGGUGGAGUUCAGACCAGACCAGUCCACCUGAACAUCUCUGUCCACCCCGGCCAGGAUGUCACUCUGACGGGUCCAGACUGCAGCGCCAACGCAUCAGUAACAGUGAUAAAAGCUGGUAAUGGCAGCUAUAUCUACCAUUACAUAGACGGACAUGUCAUAGUUCAAGACCACCAAGACCCAUCGUUUGUGGGCCGAGUGAAGAGGACAGAGGAUGAUAUCGUCUCUGUGACUCUGCUGAAUGUGACCAGAGAAGAUGCUGGAGAAAUCAAGUUGUCCUGUAGAAACAGUGAUCAAACCAAGUUUGACUACAGAUACGACCUGAAGGUUACUGAUGGAGGUGCUGCAGGAGCCAUCGUUGGAGGAGUCGUUGCUGUUUUACUGAUUGUCAUGAUGAUAAUUCUUUAUUUGCGUUGCAGCACAUUCAGAUGUAGAAUCCCCUGUAGACUCAGUGAUCAGCAGAACUCAGAGCUUCCUGGAACUUACAGAGAAGUGAAACAACAGCAGGUCUGAAGAAGAGCCCAGCCUGCUGAAAGAAGCCAGCAGGAGGUGGAGCCUACACUCACCUUCCAGCUGUACCAGGUGAAGUACACUCUGAAGCGGAUCAACCCCAUAAAGCAGCAGGACCGGAUGGAGUGAAGGCCGUCUGAGGACCUGUGCUGACCGGCUGGCUGGGGUGUUCAUGGAGAUCUUCAACCUCUCCCUACAACAAGCUGCUGUCCCCACCUACCUCAAAUCCACCACCAUCGUCCCCAAAAAGUCUGCCAUCACAACCCUCAAUGACUACCACCCAGUCUCCCUCACCCCGGUCAUUAUGAAGAGCUUUGAAAGGAUCGCACACAUCAGGAGAAGCAUCCCUACAGAUCUGGACAGACAUCAGUUUGCGUACCGGACCAACAGAUCUACAAAGGAUGCUGUCUGAGUGGCACUUCAUCCAGCCCUAACCCACCUGGAGCAGCCGGAUACCUACGUCAGGAUGCUCUUUGUGGAUUUCAGCAGUGCCUCCAACACUGUGAUCCCCCAUAAACUGGUCCAUAAACUCACCAACCUUGGACUCUCCACCACACUCAGAACCUGAUGCUACCACUGGGACUUUUUUAUGUGCCUGUAUAAAAGCUGAACUCUUUCUGUUAUUGUCAGUCUCUUGUGCACUCUGAGCUCUGUUCAGGUUGAUUCUCUGUGUGAUUAAAACAUUCGCUUUGACCAGA